rnacentral:rRNA from 1 species
UACGAAGGGGGGCUAGCGUUGCUCGGAAUCACUGGGCGUAAAGCGCACGUAGGCGGCUUCUCAAGUCAGGGGUGAAAUCCUGGAGCUCAACUCCAGAACUGCCUUUGAUACUGAGGGGCUCGAGUCCGGGAGAGGUGAGUGGAACUGCGAGUGUAGAGGUGAAAUUCGUAGAUAUUCGCAAGAACACCGGUGGCGAAGGCGGCCAUCUGGACCGGUCCGUGACGCUGAGGCGCGAAAGCGUGGGGAGCAAACAGG